AGAGUUUGAUCCUGGCUCAGGACGAACGCUGGCGGCGUGCUUAACACAUGCAAGUCGAACGCUGAAGCCCAGCUUUUGUUGGGUGGAUGAGUGGCGAACGGGUGAGUAACACGUGAGUAACCUGCCCCCUUCUUUGGGAUAACGCCCGGAAACGGGUGCUAAUACUGGAUAUUCACUGGCCUUCGCAUGGGGGUUGGUGGAAAGGUUUUUUCUGGUGGGGGAUGGGCUCGCGGCCUAUCAGCUUGUUGGUGGGGUGAUGGCCUACCAAGGCUUUGACGGGUAGCCGGCCUGAGAGGGUGACCGGUCACAUUGGGACUGAGAUACGGCCCAGACUCCUACGGGAGGCAGCAGUGGGGAAUAUUGCACAAUGGGCGGAAGCCUGAUGCAGCAACGCCGCGUGAGGGAUGACGGCCUUCGGGUUGUAAACCGCUUUCACCCAUGACGAAGCGCGAGUGACGGUAGUGGGGGAAGAAGCACCGGCCAACUACGUGCCAGCAGCCGCGGUGAUACGUAGGGUGCGAGCGUUGUCCGGAAUUAUUGGGCGUAAAGAGCUUGUAGGCGGUUGAUCGCGUCGAUAGUGAAAUCCCGGGGCUCAACCUCGGGCUUGCUGUCGAUACGGGUUGACUUGAGGAAGGUAGGGGAGAAUGGAACUCCCGGUGGAGCGGUGGAAUGCGCAGAUAUCGGGAAGAACACCGGUGGCGAAGGCGGUUCUCUGGACCUUUCCUGACGCUGAGAAGCGAAAGCGUGGGGAGCAAACAGGCUUAGAUACCCUGGUAGUCCACGCUGUAAACGGUGGGUACUAGGUGUGGGUCGCAUUCCACGUGAUCCGUGCCGUAGCCAACGCAUUAAGUACCCCGCCUGGGGAGUACGGCCGCAAGGCUAAAACUCAAAGGAAUUGACGGGGCCCCGCACAAGCGGCGGAGCAUGCGGAUUAAUUCGAUGCAACGCGAAGAACCUUA
rnacentral:rRNA from 1 species